rnacentral:rRNA from 1 species
UGGCAGUCGAACGGCAGCACGGGCUUCGGCCUGGUGGCGAGUGGCGAACGGGUGAGUAAUACAUCGGAACGUACCCAGAAGUGGGGGAUAACGCAGCGAAAGUUGCGCUAAUACCGCAUGCGUUCUACGGAAGAAAGUGGGGGAUCUUCGGACCUCAUGCUUUUGGAGCGGCCGAUGUCUGAUUAGCUAGUUGGUGGGGUAAAGGCUCACCAAGGCGACGAUCAGUAGCUGGUCUGAGAGGACGACCAGCCACACUGGAACUGAGACACGGUCCAGACUCCUACGGGAGGCAGCAGUGGGGAAUUUUGGACAAUGGGCGCAAGCCUGAUCCAGCAAUGCCGCGUGAGUGAAGAAGGCCUUCGGGUUGUAAAGCUCUUUUGCCAGGGAAGAAACGGCUCCGGCUAAUAUCCGGGGCUAAUGACGGUACCUGAAGAAUAAGCACCGGCUAACUACGUGCCAGCAGCCGCGGUAAUACGUAGGGUGCAAGCGUUAAUCGGAAUUACUGGGCGUAAAGCGUGCGCAGGCGGUUUUGUAAGUCUGUCGUGAAAGCCCCGGGCUCAACCUGGGAAUUGCGAUGGAGACUGCAAGGCUUGAAUCUGGCAGAGGGGGGUAGAAUUCCACGUGUAGCAGUGAAAUGCGUAAGAUGUGGAGGAACACCGAUGGCGAAGGCAGCCCCCUGGGUCAAGAUUGACGCUCAUGCACGAAAGCGUGGGGAGCAAACAGGAUUAAUACCCUGGUAUCCACGCCCUAAACGAUGUCUACUAUUGUCGGGUUUUAAUUAACUUGGUAACGCACUAACGCGUGAAUAACCGCCUGGGGAGUACGGUCCAAAUUAAAACUCAAAGGA